GGCGGACGGGUGAGUAAUGCUUACGAAUCUGCCUAUUACUGGGGGACAACAUCUCGAAAGGGAUGCUAAUACCGCAUACGUCCUACGGGAGAAAGCAGGGGACCUUCGGGCCUUGCGCUAAUAGAUGAGCCUAAUUCGGAUUAGCUAGUUGGUGGGGUAAAGGCCUACCAAGGCGACGAUCUGUAGCGGGUCUGAGAGGAUGAUCCGCCACACUGGGACUGAGACACGGCCCAAACUCCUACGGGAGGCAACACUGGGGAAUAUUGGACAAUGGGGGGAACCCUGAUCCAGCCAUGCCGCGUGUGUGAAGAAGGCCUUUUGGUUGUAAAGCACUUUAAGCGAGGAGGAGGCUACCGAGAUUAAUACUCUUGGAUAGUGGACGUUACUCGCAGAAUAAGCACCGGCUAACUCUGUGCCAGCAGCCGCGGUAAUACAGAGGGUGCAAGCGUUAAUCGGAUUUACUGGGCGUAAAGCGCGCGUAGGUGGCCAAUUAAGUCAAAUGUGAAAUCCCCGAGCUUAACUUGGGAAUUGCAUUCGAUACUGGUUGGCUAGAGUAUGGGAGAGGAUGGUAGAAUUCCAGGUGUAGCGGUGAAAUGCGUAGAGAUCUGGAGGAAUACCGAUGGCGAAAGCAGCCAUCUGGCCUAAUACUGACACUGAGGUGCGAAAGCAUGGGGAGCAAACAGGAUUAGAUACCCUGGUAGUCCAUGCCGUAACGAUGUCUACUAGCCGUUGGGGCCUUUGAGGCUUUAGUGGCGCAGCUAACGCGAUAAGUAUACCGCCUGGGGAGUACGGUCGCAAGACUAAAACUCAAAUGAAUUGACGGGGGCCCGCACAAGCGGUGG
rnacentral:rRNA from 1 species